GUCAACCAUCGCCCGCAAUGAUUGUCACGAUCGUCGCGGCGCGGAUUUGGACGCUGCCGUCGUUGGCUCGUCUCGAAAUGCAUUAGCUGUCGAAGGACCGCGCUCCGGUGUGAUAAUUGUUGGUUAUAUGCGCCGUGCACGUGUCUGGUGAAGGCUCACAGUCGUCCGCGAGGACACAUAACUAAAG
rnacentral:misc_RNA from 1 species